AUGCGUAAUCAUCGCGAAUGCAUUCCUAUAGAACAGUCCUUAAGGGAGCUGGAGACAGAGGAGGCGGAUUGCCGAUUCGGAGACAGAGCAAGUAUUCCUGAGAGAGAAAAAGUGCUCCUGAAAGCAGCGGGUGCUGGUCUUCAAAUGUCGUCAUUCAGUUCCUCAACGACCAGGUCCGGGGCACACAGAGCAGCUGCUUGUCUCUGGAGUCCAGCUGUGAAGGAUUCAUGGGCGCCUUCUCCAGGGUUGCCAGCCCCAGGAUUGUUCUCCGUGAAGAUUUCUCCCAGAAUCUCAACGUGGCAAAGCUCACCAUGGGACCAUCCUUUUAGUUAGAGUUUCCAACAAAUGGGGAAGCAUUUGGCAUGCUCUUUCCAUCUUUGCUACUAUUCAUUUAGUCUUUGUCUCUGAAAUGCGUUGCCAAGAGGAAAGCUUCGUGUGUUCGUUUGUAGUGUGACAUCUUGCUUUGGAAACUUUGAGUGUGUGCAUAGGGAGGCAAAGAAAAAACGAGGCUUCACUUUUCCCCACUUUGCAUUAAUUAAAAAAAAGACUGAAAGUGAAGUUUGAGUUUUUCUUUAUUCAGAAAUUGGAAAGAAGAUUCGUAUGCAUUUUUGUUGUUGUUGUUGCAUUUUUGUUGUUGUGUUGUUGUUGGAGUAGAUGGGAGGUAGUAAGAGGUGUCAGAGACUUUCUCUUUGUUUUUAAUGUUGGUACCCGAGAGAUUAUACUCAAUGAUAGAUGAUAAAAGAAAGGGCCAGGUUUCAGGUGGAGUAAUCUUAUGAGGAUGAAGGGCCUGGAUGUCUUGUGUGGGAUAAAUGGAGGCUCUAAUCGUGAUCCGACUCACCGCUGGGGUUGGACAUAUUACGUAUAUCAAAAAAAGAUAUUAAAAUGGAGAUAAAUUUAAACCUGGUGAGAAAAAGGCAAUAAUAAGCCUUCCAAAUACCAUUUAAAAUUGCCCCACAGUGACCAUGGAGCCCUACAUAAAAGAAAUACUAUGAUCUCACUAAUUGUAAAACCUACAGUUUUAGAAAACUAAUGGAUCUUAGUGGAGAGAAAUUCAUAGCUUAAGAAUGUGACAACCACGAUAAGGUACUGAAAAGUCAGUUUCCCUAAGGCGGUUAGCGUGGACUCUGUAAUGAACUAAGUACUGGGAAACUUAAUUUGAAUUUUCCAAACUGUGUGCCCAGAGACAUAUGACUGAAACGUAUUUUCAGAAAGCUAUAAAGCAACCAUAGUUCUUGACAAGGACUAAUAGUCUGCUUUUACAAAGAACUUUUUUUUAAUCUAAGGGCUUCAGAGAACAAGCAGAGAGUCAGUUAUGCUACCAGCAUUGACACUUAGAGAGAAUGAAUGGGUCUUAGGGAACCACUGAAUCCGAAAGUUACAUUCAGUCAAGGCUCAUAUUGUUUUCUGUUUUAAUCUAGGAUUACUGUAUUUGCUUUUUUUACAGUUAGAAAAACAACUUCAAUUAUAUCUGUCAAGAAUAUGCUAAUAAUUGAAGAGUGUUUAAUAUUUUAUUUCUAAUAAUGAAAAUAUUACCAAAUUGUAUUUAUUUUUAAAGAUACUUGAAAUAAUAAAAUUCCAAGACAGCAAAAAAACUGUACUCA
rnacentral:lncRNA from 1 species